rnacentral:rRNA from 1 species
AUUGAACGCUAGCGGCAGGCCUAACACAUGCAAGUCGAACGAGUGGCGGACGGGUGAGUAAUUUAUCGGGAUCUGCCCGGUAGAGGGGGAUAACUACUGGAAACGGUAGCUAAUACCGCAUACUAUCGGAUGAGCCCAUAUGGGAUUAGCUUGUUGGUGGGGUAAAGGCUCACCAAGGCGACGAUCCGUAGCUGGUCUGAGAGGAUGACAAGGCACACUCGGAUGGAGACACGGGCCAGAGGCCUACGGGAGGCAGCAGUGGGGAAUAUUGCACAAUGGGAGGAACCCUGAUGCAGCCACUGGGUGAUUAUGAUGAAGGUCUUAGGGUUGGAAAUUAACUUCAGCGGGGAGGCGUUACCCGCAGAAUAAGCACCGGCUAAAUACGUGCCAGCAGCCGCGGUAAUUC